GUUUGUUUAUUUUCGUUUAAAUUCGUUCGUUUUUCCGUUUGUGAACGAUAUUGUCGCGUUAGUUAGCUGCUGGUGGAUGCCGCUAUCUCGGGAGCAGCUUGGAAGAAGCACCAGACGUCUCCAUCAGUAGAAUAGGAGAAGCCACUUACGACAGCUGGAGGAAAUAAACCCGAUAAGUUUUUAUUUUAUUUA